rnacentral:rRNA from 1 species
GCGAAGAGGUCACACCCGUUCCCAUACCGAACACGGAAGUUAAGCUCUUCAGCGCCGAUGGUAGUCGGGGGUUUCCCCCUGUGAGAGUAGGA